rnacentral:rRNA from 1 species
CCGCGGUAAUACGGAGGGUGCAAGCGUUACUCGGAAUCACUGGGCGUAAAGGGCGCGUAGGCGGAUUAUCAAGUCUCUUGUGAAAUCUAAUGGCUUAACCAUUAAACUGCUUGGGAAACUGAUAGUCUAGAGUGAGGGAGAGGCAGAUGGAAUUGGUGGUGUAGGGGUAAAAUCCGUAGAUAUCACCAAGAAUACCCAUUGCGAAGGCGAUCUGCUGGAACUCAACUGACGCUAAGGCGCGAAAGCGUGGGGAGCAAACAGGAUUAGAUACCCUGGUAGUCCACGCCCUAAACGAUGUACACUAGUUGUUGGGGUGCUAGUCAUCUCAGUAAUGCAGCUAACGCAUUAAGUGUACCGCCUGGGGAGUACGGUCGCAAGAUUAAAACUCAAAGGAAUAGACGGGGACCCGCACAAGCGGUGGAGCAUGUGGUUUAAUUCGAAGAUACGCGAAGAACCUUACCUGGGCUUGAUAUCCUAAGAACCUUUUAGAGAUAAGAGGGUGCUAGCUUGCUAGAACUUAGAGACAGGUGCUGCACGG